CCUACGGGAGGCUGCAGUGAGGAAUAUUGGUCAAUGGGAGAGAUCCUGAACCAGCCAAGCCGCGUGAGGGAAGACGGCCCUAUGGGUCGUAAACCGCUUUUGCACGGGGAUAACACCCUCCACUUGUGGAGGUCUGCAGGUACCGUGCGAAUAAGGGCCGGCUAAUUCCGUGCCAGCAGCCGCGGUAAUACGGAAGGCCCGAGCGUUAUCUGGAUUCAUUGGGCUUAAAGGGAGCGUAGGCGGGCGUUCAAGUCAGCUGUAAAAUCGCGCGGCUCAACCGCGCCCCGCAGUUGAAACUGGACGCCUUGAGUUCACAACAGGCAGGCGGAAUUCGUGGUGUAGCGGUGAAAUGCAUAGAUAUCACGAGGAACCCCGAUUGCGAAGGCAGCCUGCCGGGGUGCGACUGACGCUGAGGCUCGAAGGUGCGGGUAUCAAACAGGAUUAGAUACCCUGGUAGUC
rnacentral:rRNA from 1 species